UGGGGUAUCGCCAAGUGGUAAGGCACUAGCUUUUGGUGCUAGCAUUCCUAGGUUCGAAUCCUAGUACCCCAUCCA
rnacentral:tRNA from 1 species